rnacentral:snRNA from 1 species
CUAAGAUAUCACGUUUCAUGCUCACUAAAAUUGGAAGAAUACACAGCAGGUCACCAUGGUCCCUGCACUGGGUGGGACACACCAACCUGAGAUGUUCCAUGUUUUG